GGGCCCGUAGCUUAGAUAGGUAGAGCAUCCGGCUUUUAACCGGACGGUCGCGGGUUCGAAUCCCGUCGGGCUCA
rnacentral:tRNA from 1 species